rnacentral:rRNA from 1 species
AGCGACGGACGAGAAGCUUGCUUCUCUGAUGUUAGCGGCGGACGGGUGAGUAACACGUGGAUAACCUACCUAUAAGACUGGGAUAACUUCGGGAAACCGGAGCUAAUACCGGAUAAUAUUUUGAACCGCAUGGUUCAAAAGUGAAAGACGGUCUUGCUGUCACUUAUAGAUGGAUCCGCGCUGCAUUAGCUAGUUGGUAAGGUAACGGCUUACCAAGGCAACGAUGCAUAGCCGACCUGAGAGGGUGAUCGGCCACACUGGAACUGAGACACGGUCCAGACUCCUACGGGAGGCAGCAGUAGGGAAUCUUCCGCAAUGGGCGAAAGCCUGACGGAGCAACGCCGCGUGAGUGAUGAAGGUCUUCGGAUCGUAAAACUCUGUUAUUAGGGAAGAACAUAUGUGUAAGUAACUGUGCACAUCUUGACGGUACCUAAUCAGAAAGCCACGGCUAACUACGUGCCAGCAGCCGCGGUAAUACGUAGGUGGCAAGCGUUAUCCGGAAUUAUUGGGCGUAAAGCGCGCGUAGGCGGUUUUUUAAGUCUGAUGUGAAAGCCCACGGCUCAACCGUGGAGGGUCAUUGGAAACUGGAAAACUUGAGUGCAGAAGAGGAAAGUGGAAUUCCAUGUGUAGCGGUGAAAUGCGCAGAGAUAUGGAGGAACACCAGUGGCGAAAGCGACUUUCUGGUCUGCUACUGACGCUGAUGUGCGAAAGCG